AUGUCUCGUAGGAGUGCCCGCCUGGUGUCAGGUGGUUACUAUCAAUCAGAUGAAGACUCGGACUCCAGCAGCGUCACAACCAUCUCCUACCGCGAGAGCCCCCUCAGGGUGUUCAAGAAGAAGCCGGGGGGUACUCGCAAGGCGUCCACUCGUACCUCAAGCAGGGCCAAUAGCAACGUCAGCUCGGUCAGUACAGCUGAGCCGUCGGCCACAGAACGGACCAAUCAGGGACCAGAACAGUACCAAGGUCCGACCCCGGAGCCCGCCCAGGGCGGGUCCAGCAUCCAGAUGGUACUUUACAACCCCACGCCCGCACCUACCGCGCGGCCCGCCCUGACCCCCGCACGGGGCCGGAGCCGGACCCCCACCCCCUGCCCUGACGCUCCCCCGGAGAGCAGCCUACCGUCGGGGUCGCUGGGGCCCUUCAGAGCCGGGGGCCUGCAGGGGUCGUACAGCCGGCUGCUGAACCAGGCCAGCGUGGACAGCUCUGGGUACUCGUCUGCCGAGGGACCCCACAGGAGACCCACCACCACCACCAGCCCCACCCACCCGGCCCCUCGUACCCCCAGCGGGGAACCAGCAUCUCCACCCGGAGGUACUGGUACCAGCAAAGCUCAAAGCAGCAGUCGCAGCUACAGCUAUUACACUGACAGAUUGCUCCGACCCGGCAUGAGGACGCUGAUCGGUGGCGUUCUGCUCCUGGCCCUCCUGUUCCUCUGCGUGUACCUCCUGGUUCCUCUGCUGGUCUCUCUCACCCUCCACCCCACCACUACCAAGGCCACUGGGCCCGGGCUGACCACCAUCACAACACCACCCGUUUCCCUCACCACGCCUCCUCCCCCGGCUCUUCCUCCUUCUUCUUCUCCUCCUCAUCACCAAGCUACUCCACCUCCUUCUUCCCCUCUUCAUCACCAAGCCACGGCUCCUCCUCCUCUUAAUCAUCCUGCUCCCCAGCCCUGCUCUGUUCCGCCAGCACCUGCUGCCCUGGAUCCUCUGCUGGUAUCUGCUGCAGUGGACCACAAGAUGCAGAAUGUUCUGGAGGAACUACUGCAGAAACAGGAGAACCUUCACUCUCUGGGGGAGGCCAGGCUCCGGGCAGAGCUGCAGGUGCUGAGGGCCAGGCUGGAGGAGCUGGGCACCGCGGGCCAGCAGAGCCUGGAGGCGGAGGUGGACCGGCUGAGCCGGCUGCUGGCCCGCCACCAGGCAGACGCCGACGGCGCCCGCACUGCGAUGGCGCUCAGGGUCCGGGCCCUGGAGACCACCAACACACAGGUGAAGGAGGCCCUCCCUGCGCUCCCAACGGGACCCAUGGAUGAGUGA
rnacentral:lncRNA from 1 species